AAAACACACACAAUUUUUAAAACACGAAAAACAACCGCUUCUUCCUCUUUUUCCAUCACUGUGCGUGAGAGAACUACGGAAGAACUGCCGCCUUCUUCCUCAACAAUCGACCACCACCCGCCACCUAGACCACCAGAUCCCACUACCAUUUGAACCCCCUCACCUUCGUCUUCAACCUCUAGUCAUCACCGGGCUACGGAGUUGUCGAAAACAGCCCCAAUCACCACCCAAAACCGCCCUACCAAUCACGAUUUUCGCCAUAUUUCCACCACCGUCAGCCACCGUUUCGAUUGCGGACCGCCACCACUUUCGUGCUCUCAACGAGGCGCAUUCAGUACCACCAUGGGUCACCUGUAAUUUUGUCCAGAAUCGAGAGAGCUUGUGAAAGCAGUUCACCCGUUUAGACCCAAAACUGUAAUCUGGGUUUUGAAUAAAAAUUCAUUUAGUGAAAGAUCUUUUGAUUAUCCGAUUUAAGAAUGAAGAAUGGAAGAUUACGGAAAUUUCUCUACAUUCUUGUUUGUAUGCUGAUUGUGAUAAGAACAGAAGGAUUUUUAGUUGAUAUUACUUAUGUUCAGAGUGCUGUGGCAAAAGGAGCAGGGAAAACAUUAAGGUUUGUUUUGACGGUAGUCCACCGGCAUAUCGUUUUGAUAGGGGAUCUGGUGUAGGAAUUAACAAUUGGUUGGUUCAUAUCGAGGAAGGAAGAUAGUGCAACAAUGUCACUACUUGCCUUGAACGUAAAGACAAUCACCUAGGUUCCUCCAAGCAAAUGGCUAAGCAGGUUGUAUUUUCUGGGAUUUUGAGCAACAAGCUAAAGUUCAACCCAGGCUUCUAAACUUUACUUCAGAGGAGCAAGAGUUUUUGUUGCUAUCAUCGAGGAUUUGUUAGAAAAAGGAAUGAAGAAUGUUGAAAAUCAAGGCAUUCCCGGUGAACUAGUCAAGAAAUAGUUUGUGGGGCUAUGUGUUAUCUGUUACUUAAUCCGCCUUCACAAGCACCAGAGUGAUUUCAUUGCUACAAGCUGCAUAGCUCAAAAGCAAGCUUGCUAAUAAUCAGCUCAGAGCCUUGUAUUCUUUUAUUGUAUUUUCUUUGAAUCACUAGUCAUUUUUUUA